rnacentral:lncRNA from 1 species
CGUCACAGAUGUGGCACUGCUAACUGCUCAUCUGAGUGUUACAUUGGUAAAAGAAGAGUGGAUGGUUUGAAAGCCAUCCUGCAUCUCAUCCGAAGAGCAGAGGAGAGCAGCAGAACCACCACAGUAACAUCUCCACAGAGCAGCUCUGCAUGGGUCCCACUGCUGUCACCUGGGGUGGAUGCAGAGGAUCCUGAAGUGGAGGUGGCUCAAAGUGGGGCUCCAAGUUGCUCCAUUGUUACCACAGCCUCACAGCACUGCUACGGAAAAGCCACCAGGCUUAAAGAGGCCUUUGGAAAAAUCUGGCUCCUUCCACGAUGACUCAGAGAGGAGGAAACGCAAUCCCUGCUCCGUGUGCCACCCCCGGGACAGAGCAGUGCUGACACCAUCGCAGCCUUCGCCCAGAGAAGCCCUGGGAGGGUCAGGGCUGUUCCUUCCAGGUGUGAGGGUGGAGGAGAUACAGAGGUCACAGUGCCCCUCCUGCUGGCGCUGGGCACCAUCCAACAGAGCCCGGCCCCAUCCUCCCAACCCCUGCCUUACAGAUACCGACCAGAUCCCUUCUCACAGCCUUCUCCAUUGUGAGGAUGGAUUAUCCAGUGCCUACAAAGGCUGUGUGACUUUGUAUCGAGUGGGCACCCGGAUAAGGAGGGUUUGUUGAUGGACUUGGGGUGGCUUUGCUCCAAUGUUUACCUACAAAGCACAGUGCCCGGGCUCGGUGCUGUCAUUGGAUGGGUGCCCUGCGGUGGAUGUGCUGCUCCCUCCGCACACCAGAGCCGUCGGAGUCGCCAUCUGCAGGCAGCCCCACAAUGGAGAUGCAGGAGGAAGCACGGGUGGAGCACAGCUGGGUUGGAAGGGACCCCACAGCCUCUCGGCUCCCUUUGUCCCCUCCGACCCCCAGUCUGCAGGGGGAGGCUCAGAGCCGCUCCCCUUCCCCGGUGCUUCAAUGGCACAGAAGGGAGCGAGGUGGGAGCUCUGCGCAGAGCAGUUCCUGUAACCCCGUGCGGGGACCCAACGCAGCGCACACAAUGCGUGCUUUGUCCGCUUCUGUUCUCCCAGUGCCGUGAGUGCAAACACAGAACGCGUUAAUUACUGUCCAGCUCCCCAGGGUAAGGCCCAUAUGCCAACAACCGGAGCAAAGCACGGGAAGCGCCGCGAUCCUGAAGUGACGCUGAGCUGCAAUUACUUCUUGAUUUGCUCAUAGAAACACGCAGCCCUGUGCCCUUUGUGCUCGGAGCAGCACUGACCGUGGGGCUGUGCAGGAGAGAGCGAGGAAUGGCGGGGUGGAGCCCACUCGCCACGCAGGGCCGCUGUGAGCUGCUGGCAUUGUGCUCACGGCGUUGGCUUUGGGCACAGCGCUGUGCAGUGCUGCAUCCUCAGCUGCUCGCUGGGCGCCCGCAGUUGGUGCCGUGAUUUGGCGUUCACCCCGGCGAAGAAUGAGCUGCCUGAGGACAGCUGGCUGCGUGCUGCAGCAAACCGCCGACUGUCUGACACACGGACAGACGGACAGGCGGACAGCUGCUCGCCUCCACGUGGAUGGGGUGGGCACGGAGCUUUGGUUCAAGCGCUGCUCAACGUGGGGAUAACGAGGCCAAAAGGAGCGCUGCUGGAGCAACAAAGCAGGCCGGCCUUGUGCCCUGCGGUGGGGGAUGAGUGCAGCCCCGCGUCCCUCCCUGCGCCCGUGCAGGAGGUGAGGGGAGCCGGUGGUUGUGCAGGGGGGGCACUUUUCCUGCUGUGCCUCUGUGGGGUUCUGCACAUCGCCUGCAGCCUGGCCGGGGAUCCCGAAUAGCGCCGGAUGAGAGCGCUGCGUUUUCCACCCAGGCGCUGUGGUUUCUGCCCUUCUUUUAAUAGGUGCCCGUGGGCAGGUUCCUCCACAGCCUCACCCAGCCCUGCUUGGAGUUGUUCUGCCAAAGCCGGUCGGGUGCUUGCAGGCCUCACUCAGUGCUCUGCCUUCCUUCCCGAGCAGCUCCGGAGCCGGGGG